rnacentral:misc_RNA from 1 species
GGGACAGAUAUGAAUAGUCCUCAUGGAAUACCUGUUGACUUGUUGGACCGCUUGGUGAUUAUCCGAACACAAAUUUAUGGUCCUGCGGAAAUGAUACAGAUUUUAGCAAUUCGUGCACAGGUAGAGGAACUGAUUGUAGAUGAGGAAAGUUUGGCAUUUCUUGGAGAGAUUGGUCAACGCUCAUCCUUAAGACAUGCAGUUCAGCUGUUAUCACCUGCCAGCAUUGUGGCAAAAAUGAAUGGCCGAGACAACAUUUGCAAGGCGGACCUUGAGGAAGUGAGUGCAUUGUAUCUAGAUGCCAAAUCUUCGGCCAAGCUACUUCAAGAGCAGCAGGAAAAGUACAUCUCAUGAUAAUAUCAACUGAUUUUUCUGGAUAUUCAAGAG